UCUGGUUGAUCCUGCCAGUAGUCAUAUGCUUGUCUCAAGAUUAAGCAUGCAUGUCUAAGUAUAAGCAAUUAUACAGUGAACUGCGAAUGGCUCAUUAAUCAGUUAUCGUUUAUUUGAUAGUACCUUACUACUUGGAUAUCGUGGUAUUCUAGAGCUAAUACAUGCUAAAUCCGACUCUGGAGGGAUGUAUUUAUUAGAUAAAAAUCAUGUCUUCGGACUCUUUGAUGAUCAUAUAACUUUUCGAAUCGCAUGGCUUGUGCUGGCGAUGGUUCAUUCAAUUUCUGCCCUAUCAACUUUCGAUGGUAGGAUAGUGGCUACCAUGGUUUCAACGGGUAACGGGAUAAGGGUUCGAUUCCGGAGAGGGAGCUGAGAAACGGCUACACAUCAAGGAAGGCAGCAGGCGCGCAAUUACCAAUCCGACACGGGAGGUAGUGACAAUAAAUAACGAUACAGGGCCUUAUGGGUCUUGUAAUUGGAAUGAGUACAAUGUAAUACCUUAACGAGGAACAAUUGGAGGGCAAGUCUGGUGCCAGCAGCGCGGUAAUUCAGCUCCAAAGCGUAUAUUAAAGUUGUUGCAGUUAAAAGCUCGUAGUUGACCUUGGGCUUGGUUAGCGGUCCGCCUUUUGGUGAGUACUGGAUCUAACCGAGCCUUUCCUUCUGGGUAACCUUUCUUUCGGGAAGGCGAACAGGACUUUUACUUUGAAAAAUUAGAGUGUUCAAGCAGGCUUUGCUCGAAUAUUAGCAUGGAAUAUAGAUAGGACGUUAUGGUUCUAUUUUGUUGGUUUCUAGACCAUCGUAAUGAUUAUAGGGACGGACGGGGUAUCAGUAUUCAGUUGUCAGAGGUGAAUUCUUGGAUUUACUGAAGACUAACUACUGCGAAAGCAUUUACCAAGCACGUUUUCAUUAAUCAAGAACGAAGUUAGGGGAUCGAAGAUGAUCAGAUACCGUCGUAGUCUUAACCAUAAACUAUGCCGACUAGGGAUCGGGUGUUGUUCUUUUAUUGACGCACUCGGCACCUUACGAGAAUCAAGUCUUUGGUUCUGGGGGAGUAUGGUCGCAAGGCUGAACUUAAAGGAAUUGACGGAAGGGCACACCAGGAGUGGAGCUGCGGCUUAAUUUGACUCAACACGGGGAACUCACCAGGUCAGACACAUAAGGAUUGACAGAUUGAGAGCUCUUUCUUGAUUUUGUGGGUGGUGGUGCAUGGCGUUCUUAGUUGGUGGAGUGAUUUGUCUGCUUAAUUGCGAUAACGACGAGACCUUAACCUACUAAAUAGUGCUGCUAGCUUUUGCUGGUAUAGUCACUUCUUAGAGGACUAUCGAUUUCAAGUCGAUGGAGUUUGAGGCAUAACAGGUCUGUGAUGCCUUAGACGUUCUGGGCCGCACGCGCGCUACACUGACGGAGCCAGCGAGUUUAUACUUGGCCGAGAGGUCUGGGAAAUCUUGUGAAACUCCGUCGUGCUGGGAUAGAGCAUUGUAAUUAUUGCUCUUCACGAGAAUUCUAGUAAGCGCAAGUCAUCAGCUUGCGUUGAUUACGUCCUGCCUUUGUACACCGCCCGUCGCUACUACCGAUUGAAUGGUUAGUGAGGCUCCGGAUUGGCUUAAGAAAGGGGCAACCUCAUUCUGGAGCUGAAAAGCUGGUCAAACUUGUCAUUUAGAGGAAGUAAAGUCGUAACAAGGUUUCGUAGGUGAACUGCGGAAG
rnacentral:rRNA from 1 species